GGCCUGAUAGCUCAGCGGUAGAGCAGAAGCCUUUUAAGCUUUUGGUCCAGGGUUCGAAUCCCUGUCAGGUCA
rnacentral:tRNA from 1 species